UACAGAGGUCUCAAGCGUUGUUCGGAUUCAUUGGGCGUAAAGGGUGCGUAGGCGGCGCGGUAAGUCGGGUGUGAAAUCUCGGGGCUUAACUCCGAAACUGCAUUCGAUACUGCCGUGCUUGAGGACUGGAGAGGAGACUGGAAUUUACGGUGUAGCGGUGAAAUGCGUAGAUAUUGUCAAGAACACCUAUUGCGAAGGCAGCUUACUAAGCUGUAACUGACGCUGAGGCACGAAAGCGUGGGGAUCAAACAGG
rnacentral:rRNA from 1 species